GGCUCUGUGGCGCAAUGGAUAGCGCAUUGGACUUCUAGCGAAGGGGCGAAGCCAUUCAAAGGUUGCGGGUUCGAGUCCCGCCAGAGUCG
rfam:Ictidomys tridecemlineatus contig091288, whole genome shotgun sequence.